GGCAGCCCGGCUAAAGUUCCAGUGAGCCCUGCGUUGCCUCCCCCAGCCCUGGGCAGGGGCUGGACGGGGAGAGCCCAUGAGAGAGCAAGGAUUCCUAGCCGCCGCCCUGGGAACCCUGCCACGCGAGGCUGGGCUGGUGGCCGUCUCCACGCUUUCCGGAACAGACGCCGCUCACUUCCCGGCUCCCGACGAGCCCAGCGGCGGUGCGGUGGCCUGUCCCCGGCUGACUUCCAGGGGGCUUGGGCAGGAGUGAAGCGGCAGCGCCGUGAGCCGCCCCCAGGCUCGCUGAUGUCCCCCAGCGCUGCUGGCCUGGCCCACUGGGGUGGAUGGAAAGCUACUCCAGGGAGAAGUCGGAUUCUUAAAGGCCUGCUGGACGACAGGUACCCCGGACCCCACAGCCAGAUGCCUGCCAACCUGCAGAGGAGGUGGCAGUCUGCAGCCCCGGCACAGGGCUUCCUCCACCUGAGGCCACCCCUGCAGGCCG
rnacentral:lncRNA from 1 species